rnacentral:lncRNA from 1 species
GAAAGACCAUGCCUCCACAGUGCGUUAUACAAAUAUUCCAUGCUAUCAAAGGCACUUCCGAUCUAACAAAGAUUCAAAUGCCAAGCCUAACAAUGAAUAACAACAAACAACCACAUUCUAAAAUGUACUAAACUUGGAUAUGCACUUUGUUACUUCAUUUUAUAAACCGUUAUAAGCGCUAUAAUUUCUUUCAUUUAUCUGAUUUAAUUGUCCCAAACUCCCAAUACAUAUUUAAACCGUGUUGUGGGCUUACAAGAGACAAAUGACAAAUUCAAAAUAAUGGGCCAGCCCAAGUUACUUGACUAGGCGAUGUUAAUCCACUUACUCACUUCAUGACCAUCCCCUCCUUCUCCAAUCUCUCACUCACCCUGUAGUUUCCACCGCAUCGCCGCUGCUCCUCUGCAUCGGAGAGACGUCUUCAAUUGCAAGAUCCACUCCUGCACGCACAAGAUCUAAUUCCUCCAAUGUACGCAUCGCGUCACCAGGUCAGUUCGUUAGCUGGAUCCUCACCAGGUCAGGCUACCUCAACCACUUCCAAGUGAACCUUCACAAACAACACAGUAUUACCUCUAAAAGAUAGCAAGUAAAUCCGGAGUAUUUCAGUUUUGAGCUGAUGAUUUUUUCCUAGAGGCAAGGUCAUAGAUAGCAAAGUUUUACUUUUCAAACAAAGGCAGUAGUGUAAUUAUUAGCCAUCAUUAAAAUCAAUAUUGUCUCAUGAAAAUGCCUACCCUGUUGACCCACUAAUGGCAACUACAAAAAUGUUUGAUUCAUCACGCCUAAUUCAAAUUAGCUUCAAUGCCUCAUGUUUACUUCCAUAGCCUAAACUAAUAAAUCACUGAAACUUCUUCUCUGCUAAACCUAUGUCUACUUGCUAAUCAACACCCGAGUAAUAACAUGGUAGAUCAUCAUACAUGUUUAUCUCCUGUUUUCUUGAUGUCUGAGUAACAGUAUAUGCAUGUGUACUCUACAGUUUAAACAAGCUCAACGCCCUACUAUUCUGGUUGAUAGCUGACUGUUGAGUCAUUGGCACUAAGGUUGCUAAUAGAACGGCGCACUUACAGAGAGUCCAUGAACAAGAUAGAAAGCAGAAAAUAUAACAUAAAAUAGAGAUGUAAUUCCCCUUUCUACUAUGAUGUAUAUGCUUGUUUAGGGCAAACCAUAUAUUUUCAGAAAUUUGUACCUUAUCAGCUAUUUGAUUUGGUUACCGCAGUUCGGUCUUUUCCCUCUUGUGAGUUCUGCACCAUCCUCACAUGAUUCAUCAACAACCACCUAGAAACGAUCAGCAGAGAAAAAAAAUCAAAGUGAAAUCAAAUGGAAUCGCAUGUAGGUAGUAGCAAAGUACGAUAUGUCACUCUAUUGGCACUUCGCCUGUACACCAUGCAACAUCAAGUGAGGCAUGAGCAAUAAAGUGAUCAGAUACCAACAUCAUGUAUUAAGCACAAAUCAUGAAUCAAUACCAGAGGACCAAAUAGUGUCACCACCUCUGUACUAACAACCAAACUUUUUUUAGAAGAACAGGGAGGCUCUAACAACCAACGUUUUAGCAUGUCAUUUGUUUAACAACCAAGCCGUUUACCAAGCAAAACCACAAUAGCUAAAUCUCCCAAGAGCAUACUUUCAGAGAAGCACAGUCUAGAUCAUGCACCCACAAAUAAACGACUUGGUUUUCAACUGGCAUAAUGAUUUCCUUCCUACCGCAAACCUCUGCCUGCAGCUUUAAACUGAACCAUCAAGUUCGAAUGUCAUUUAUCUACAAAAGUAUUGCCAUGGCAGUCUAAUUUCCCAAGGGCAGGAGUGAAAUAUACUUUCAGAAUGUGCAGUUCAGAUCAUGCAGUUAGAAAUAAACUUUAUGGUAGUAACUCUACAGGACUUGCUAUUCAAUUAUCUUUUCUAGUACCCAUUUUGAACACGACACAAUGAUUAGCUCCUAUUAUGUAAGGUCACACUAUUUAAAUCGAGAAUUGCUCGCAUUUUCAUGAUUUUUUUAGUUAUCCUAGUAGUGUUUACUUGCACAUCAGGAGUAUCACAGUUACAGCUAGAGAGGCAUUGUCCUAUCAUAAUUUAAAUAUCAGAAGCUGACAGCAGUAAUGUAAAUACAUAUGGUCGAGACAUAAUUUUGUAGCAAAACAUGUCAGAGAGGCAAUAGAUUACAUGUGAAGGCACCCACACAAGAUUAUUACAAGAGCAGACACAAGGAUCAGAACACUAAGUAACAAUUAGAAUCUGUAUUGCGAGCUCCCUUCCCCCAUUCUAUUUUUGCUUGACAUUCAAACCAAAAACAAAGUAAUUCUUUUUAAUUUCCAAAGCACAUGUGAAUAUGACAAUACAACUUGUCAAACCAGUACAUUGACUCAUAGCUCUGUGUCUAACAUUCAAAUUUAAAAUUAAGUAACUCUAUUUUGUUCUUAACGAAAACAAAAAGGACCUCAGAAAGCCCAAGUAGCACCAAAAAAAUAUAACACGGGAUAUUAAAAAAACACUGAAGCAUCAGAGUAGAGAGUAAUUAUCAAAUAGAAACAAAAGGAAAACAAAAGCAAGAAGCUCCCAUCCCCCAUCUGUUUUUGUUUUCUUUCACUUAUAUACACCAGACCAAUAGACAAGCACUUUAACUAUAAAAAACAUAAUUCCUAAUUCAAGAACAUAGUUGAAUAUUGGAGCACCACAUACUACUCUUCGUAAAGUAAAACCAGGCAUGUGAAGUCUCGCUUGACGGACGCUGCUUAGGAAGGAUUCAAUUAUGCUAUUGUUCAGUAGGUACAUUACAAAGCCCGUUCAUGCUAACAGUAGUAGAUUCUUGUAAUCACACUUCAUGUUCUAUUUUCUAAAUAAAAUAAAUGAUCUCGCUAUAGCAGAAAACAAUACAUGCAUAUAGCUGACUGAAUUACCUCGCAAAGGUUCUGUUCUUGCAUUUCUACAUCGCCCUUGGUGCUGAAAAUAUAUAAAACAUCAGGCCAACGCUUAACAAGAUUUUGAUACUUCAGGUGAUAGGAGCACAUCCUACCAGAAGUUUAGAACAAGAUGCACCAGAAGAACAGAUAAACUGAACUGUAGACAGUUACCCCAAACACAUAACAGGAACUGACAAACUUAACUGCAACAAAUCAUUAUACUCCACAGGAGCAAAAGAAAAUAGAACCGAAAGAGGAAGCACAAACCUUGGCAGCAAGAAUAACAACAUGUGAGCCGACAAGAUGGUGGAAGAGCGGCAUCAUCUGCAACACAAACAGAAAGAACAUAGGAAGAACUGAUCAGACAGAUAAAACACAUGAAAAUGUAUAUAAGACAACCAAUGGUAGUACAUAUAGGUGAAUUAAAAUGCAUUGGGUCAGCCAAAAACAGAGAAAACAUAACUGAUGAGAGCACAUAAAAGUAGAAAUAUGGGAAAGGAAGCCAAUGGUACAAUAGACAAAUUGUAAUGCAUGUGCUAAAAUAAAUGGGCUCAUCCUAGAGUCGUAGACCACCCGUCAAAUAAUCACCACAACACAUCCAAGCAGAAAUCCAGGGAAUGCCAAAGGCAGAAUAGACAAGCUCCAAAAUCGAUCUAGCUAGUCCAGGCAAGACAGGGGAAUGGGCUGCUGCAAUCAAAGUUAUAUGCAAGAUUCAGUAACAGAUUACUUCGUUGCCGCUGACUCAGAACUGAACUAAGCUAGGCAUACCCGCUGGAUUCAGGAACAUAUUACUUCGUUGCCGCUGACUCAGAACUGAAGUAAGCUAGGCAUACCCGCUGGAUUCAGGAACAGAUUACUUUGUUGCCGCUGACUCGGAACUGAACUAAGCUAGGCACCCGAGCACCGCGCUAGUCUGCUAGAAUCCAGCGGGUAUGCCAACAAAUAUCCUCGUUUGAUAUGCCAACAAAGAUCACACACAUGGGGAGGUUGUCAAAACCAAUACAUCAGCACACAUCGCUUU